GAUGAACGCUGGCGGCGUGCCUAAUACAUGCAAGUCGAGCGAACAGAUAAGGAGCUUGCUCCUUUGACGUUAGCGGCGGACGGGUGAGUAACACGUGGGUAACCUAUCUAUAAGACUGGAAUAACUCCGGGAAACCGGGGCUAAUGCCGGAUAACAUGUUGAACCGCAUGGUUCUACAGUGAAAGGCGGCUUUGCUGUCACUUAUAGAUGGACCCGCGCCGUAUUAGCUAGUUGGUGAGGUAACGGCUCACCAAGGCAACGAUACGUAGCCGACCUGAGAGGGUGAUCGGCCACACUGGAACUGAGACACGGUCCAGACUCCUACGGGAGGCAGCAGUAGGGAAUCUUCCGCAAUGGGCGAAAGCCUGACGGAGCAACGCCGCGUGAGUGAUGAAGGUCUUCGGAUCGUAAAACUCUGUUAUUAGGGAAGAACAAAUGUGUAAGUAACUGUGCGCGUCUUGACGGUACCUAAUCAGAAAGCCACGGCUAACUACGUG
rnacentral:rRNA from 1 species